GGCUGGUCUGAAAGUAGUGAGUUAUCUCAAUUGAUAGUUCACAGUCAGAUAUAGAUCAAACUCCUUAUUCUCCUCUUUCCCCCCUUCUCACUGAUGUACUUGUCUUUAA
rnacentral:Y_RNA from 1 species